UGGUGGAGUGAUUUGUCUGGUUAAUUCCGUUAACGAACGAGACCUUAACCUAUUAAAUAGUUACGCGAACUUUGACCUCCGGGUCUUUUCGUUCACGGUAAACUUCUUAGAGGGACUCUUCACACUUAGUGAAUGGAAGUUUGAGGCAACAACA
rnacentral:rRNA from 1 species